rnacentral:rRNA from 1 species
GUAGUCUCGCACAGAUGCAUAUCAAUAAGCGGAGGAAAAGAAACUAACAAGGAUUCCCCUAGUAACGGCGAGUGAAGCGGGAAGAGCUCAAAUUUGAAAUCUUAAAGGGUUUCCCUUUACGAAUUGUAGUUUAAAGAAGUGUUUUCUGUUGAGGUUUUGGUAAAAGUUCUUUGGAAUAGGACAUCAUAGAGGGUGAGAAUCCCGUAUUUGACCUUUACUUUCAACUUUGUGAUACACUUUCAAAGAGUCGGAUUGUUUGGGAAUGCAGUCCAAAAUGGGUGGUAAAUUUCAUCUAAAGCUAAAUAUUGGCGAGAGACCGAUAGCGAACAAGUACCGUGAGGGAAAGAUGAAAAGAACUUUGAAAAGAGAGUUAAACAGUACGUGAAAUUGUCAAAGGGAAGCGUUUGACACCAGUGUUGUUUUUCUGAAAAUCAAUUAAAGAACUGUUUAUGCUAAGCUGUUUAGACUUUAUCAGCUAAUCUGUUUAGUUUUGAGCUUUUCUUUAAUGCACUUUUCAGUUAACAAGUCAACAUCAAUUUCUUUUGCUGUAAAAAAGCUUGAGGAAGGUGGCUUGAGAUUCGUCUUAAGUGUUUAUAGCCUCUUGCCUAUGCAGUCGGAGAGAUUGAGGUCUGCAGCGUAGAUCCUUCGGGGCUAAAUGCAUUUGUGCUAAGUUAUAGCAUUUUAUAGACAACUUGUUGACUAUGAUUUGUCUUGUAGCUUACUCGCUUAUGUUAUUUUACCUACGCUUAGGAUGUUGACAGCAGUAUAGACUGU